rfam:Daphnia pulex DAPPTscaffold_3110_Cont14690, whole genome shotgun sequence.
AUAGUGUAGUGGUUAUCACGUCGGCCUAACACGCUGAAGGUCCUCAGUUCAAUCCUGGGU